rnacentral:rRNA from 1 species
AUACGGGGGGAGCAAGCGUUGUCCGGAAUCAUUGGGCGUAAAGGGCACGUAGGCGGUUUCUUAAGUCGAAUGUGAAAUCUCACGGCUCAACCGUGAAACUGCGUUCGAAACUAAGUGACUUGAGUUUGGGAGAGGUGUACGGAAUUCCUGGUGUAGCGGUGGAAUGCGUAGAUAUCAGGAAGAACACCAAUGGCGAAGGCAGUACACUGGCCUGAAACUGACGCUGAGGUGCGAAAGCGUGGGGAGCAAACAGGAUUAGAAACCCCAGUAGUCC